CUUACCCCAGGAAACCCUGUGGGCCACUAAAUGUUGCAGCAUGCGUUCAGUAUAAAACAUUGAAAAGUUUCAAAACCUCAACCAGCUGUUGCUAAAAAUUGUUUCAGACGUCUAGGUUGGAUGGCAAUUCAUCAUCAUCUCCCGGUUGCUACAGCUCGGAGCUGAUGUCAGAGUCCUUGACAACAGGAUGCAUGAGGAGGGAUCAGCUGCGCGGGGAGGAAUGAUGAAUAAACAAACAUCCGAACCCUGCAGCUCUAAAUACUGUCAGACACACGACAAGCUUAUGUCGACUCGAGGCCCAAGGCUUUGCUUCCUGAUAAAUUCAGGGAUGAGUUUGAAAACACACUGGCAUUUGGCUGCAAUGGAUUAGAAAUGCACAUAGGUAUGCUUUGUGGAGGCAGGAACAGAAGCAUGUUAUUGUCUCUGAUGCUCAAGAGGUGGUGUUUAGCGGCUUUUGCAUCUGUGCAGUUCACAUUUCCUCACUGCUAAAUGCCAGACCCACUUUAUCCACAGUUUUUGUUCCUUUAUAGAUAUCACAUUGAUUUGGCUAAUUAAAAUCAAUACAGGGAUCUCUUUGAACAUACUGGAUCUGUAAAGCAUACUUUUCUCUGAUUAUUUUCCAAAGCACACAUUACAAAGUCUAAAAUUCAUAAAUUUUUUUAAAAAGCUCUUUGUGGCUAAAUUGUAUGUGCUGUUUGUUUAGUUAAUGAUAGGUGACCCAACAGAUUUAACUUGAUAAACACCAUUUAGACAUUUGCCAUCCAAUAAGGCAUGUGACAGCCUGAACCCUCAUUUCAAAUCAAUCAUUUACCUCGCUUUACGUUUGUGUAAUUUUUGUUCUGUACUUCACUGUCUAAUAAAGGUAAAAUGGACUCUAAAAAUGAAUUUGCAUCUGACCAACUUUUUUCUUGGUCUAUUUUGUUUCAUUUUGUCUUUUUAUUUGGUCAAUAGGAUGCAUUACCCAAUACCCAGACUAUUUUAUACCCUGCAUUUUGGCACAACAACAAGAAAGUACUCAAUUUUCUUCAUAGAAAUAGUAGAGAGAGAGAAGGCGAACAAGUGCUGGAGCUCAGAGAGUACAUCACCAUGUAAGUGUCAGCACUGAUGGCAGCUAAGUGCACUGAUAUGCGCAGUUUUACUUAAUCAUGUAAUGAAAAUGGUAAAAGCGAGGCAAGCCCUGAGAAGAUGUGCAGGAGGGGCAA